AUGUCAUUUCGACUUUGGAGUUCUGGAUCCCUCCUUGUGUAUCUUAUUUGCCAAGAGCACAUCUCCAUAAAUUGUUUGUCCACAAAUAUAGGAAGCUCGCUUAUUUACUUGCUAGUUGAUGUCACCAUCUCCAUGAGAAUCAAACGCAUGUUUUUAUAUAUCAGGAACAACAUGUAUAUUUGGGCUGUAAAAUACAGCAUUAUCUCGAAUGAUGCUUUUCCAAUUGUUCUAAAGUGAG
rnacentral:lncRNA from 7 species